AUCUCUUAUAUAUUCUCGUAAAUCUCUCUAUUGCUUAAUUCGAAAUUCUCAUUUAAUUGUUUUUAUUUUCUCAUCAUUUUUAGGUAAAAAUGGUAACGGCAAGAACCACCUUGAGGGACAUGCAGCCGAAGUGUACGAUAUCAAAUAUAAAAAGGCAACAAACGAGAUUCUUACGACGUCAGAAGAUAAAACAGCAAAAAUUUUCAAAUUGGAGUUUUAAAAACUCAAUGGAUUUCGCUUAUUAAAUGAAUUUAAUGGUUUAACGUAAUGUGUUGCUUUGUAUUUAAAAAAAAAAACGAUUUAUACUCGAAUAUUCCUAAAUUUAUAUACAACCACCCUGUAUAUAAAAAGAUUUUUCGAUUAUAGGGCAUUAAAAGUUAUUUUUUGCAUUACAAAUAAAUAUCCUUAUUUUUAUCAUUAACUUCAGCAUCAUUGAAUUUUUCUGUCAUUUGCGCUUAAAAACGAAAGUCAGUCACAUGAGUUGCUCUAUGCAAGUUUGUAGAAAAAUAUUUCAAACUAUACGCAUUAGUGUGAAACUUCACAUUUAAAGUAAUUAAAUAUCGUAGAUUUAAUUUUAAUUGUUAUAUAAAAUCAAUUUUAUAAAUGUUCAACCUUUUUUACCUGUCCGAGAACCGGGCAGAAAAAAAGUGUCUUAUUUAUGGUAUUUGCCCAUUUAUCGGACAGGUAGAACAGUUCAAGUGAACAUUCAAAUAGAUUUUUAUGCAGCAGUAAUUAUAUAUUUUUGAAGCGAUGAUUCUGAAUGUUUAUUAUCGAAUUGAAUUUUUUUUAAGCGUUUAAUUUGACAUUUUUUCCACUGUCCGAUAUCUGGUACAUUUUCAUAAAAAAUAGUAAUGCCCAAUUAUCGGACACGAUAUACGCUCUUGUGUUAAAGAGUUCUUCAAACAGAAAGGAUUGUUCCACUAAGUGAAAUGUUUACUUCAAUAAUAAAAUUGUAUUUAAAUUUCAGAA